rnacentral:rRNA from 1 species
ACGGAGCAACGCCGCGUGAGUGACGAAGGUUUUCGGAUCGUAAAACUCUGUUGUGAGGGAAGAACAAGUACCAAYUAACUACUGGUACCUUGACGGUACCUCACCAGAAAGCCACGGCUAACUACGUGCCAGCAGCCGCGGUAAUACGUAGGUGGCAAGCGUUGUCCGGAAUUAUUGGGCGUAAAGCGCGCGCAGGCGGUCCCUUAAGUCUGAUGUGAAAGCCCACGGCUCAACCGUGGAGGGUCAUUGGAAACUGGGGGACUUGAGUGCAGAAGAGGAAAGUGGAAUUCCACGUGUAGCGGUGAAAUGCGUAGAGAUGUGGAGGAACACCAGUGGCGAAGGCGACUUUCUGGUCUGUAACUGACGCUGAGGCGCGAAAGCGUGGGGAGCAAACAGGAUUAGAUACCCUGGUAGUCCACGCCGUAAACGAUGAGUGCUAAGUGUUAGGGGGUUUCCGCCCCUUAGUGCUGCAGCUAACGCAUUAAGCACUCCGCC